AAGUCUUACCAUAACUUCAGUAGGAACAAAAAUGGUUUGUGCUCUUUCAGGCAAUGACUGUGCAGUGCAGCGACCAGGGCAGGCCUGUCCCUUGGGACAGGGGAGGAGCGCUCCAUGCGCUCUGCCCCCCGGCCCAUGGUGAGCCUCCUGAUUGAUGUUUGGAACGUUAUUGGCAUGCUAUAUCUGGAUAAUGAAUAUACUUCAACCAGUUGUUUUCUUUAGAUUGGAUCAGCAAUGUGCAGAGCAGAAGUGUGGCGAACAGCCAGUAGUGAUCCAAAAGGUAAUAAUGGGAGAUGAGAGGAAUAAAGUCAGGAUUAGCUCAAAGGAACAAAACCAUUGAGAGCGUUAAAAUAACAGAAUGAAAGAAUGGAGGAAAUCACGCUCUUGAAUUUAAAAAAAAAAAAAAAGGAGUUUAAAAAACCUACUUGCUCUGCUGGGAGGACUGGCAUUUUCAUAGACUUCUGUGAUGGAAUCAUGAAGCCUUCUGAUAUUGUUAGGGUUUAUGGAAAAAAUACAAAAUCAGUCGUGUUGAAAUAGAAAUCAUUAGGUGUGCAGCUCCUUGUUCUUUUUACUACUGAGAUUCUUACGUGGUUGCUGCCAUCUGGACGUGCCCCUUGUUGGUGUCAGAACAAGGUGGUGGUGAUAGUGAGGUCAGGCUGUUCAUCCGGGAUGUCUGUGCAGGGAAUCGUUGUCAGCCCUCGGCUGACACC